ACGCUUCUGAUGUAUAUAUAUACUCAAAUUUAAUAUCAGAAAAAAAACAAUAAGUUAAUUCUCAUAAUUCUGCUAUUUUUUGUUUUCUCUAUAUAUCAUCAGUUUAUCAUUACUAAGGUGGUCUGCGAUGGAACUUAUCAAGAGUUGAUGGUCAAUAACUUCAUUAUUUGUUCUUCUGAUUUGGCAGAUUGAUUACAUAUGGGGCAAA
rnacentral:misc_RNA from 1 species